AUUGAACGCUGGCGGCAUGCUUUACACAUGCAAGUCGAACGGUAACAGGCCUUCGGGUGCUGACGAGUGGCGAACGGGUGAGUAAUGCAUCGGAACGUGCCCAAUCGUGGGGGAUAACGUAGCGAAAGUUACGCUAAUACCGCAUAAGCCCUGAGGGGGAAAGUGGGGGACCGCAAGGCCUCACGCGAAUGGAGCGGCCGAUGUCAGAUUAGCUAGUUGGUGGGGUAAAGGCCCACCAAGGCGACGAUCUGUAGCGGGUCUGAGAGGAUGAUCCGCCACACUGGGACUGAGACACGGCCCAGACUCCUACGGGAGGCAGCAGUGGGGAAUUUUGGACAAUGGGCGCAAGCCUGAUCCAGCCAUGCCGCGUGAGUGAAGAAGGCCUCGG
rnacentral:rRNA from 1 species